rnacentral:lncRNA from 1 species
CGCUCCAGCCAGUGCUCACUCACAUAUCAGCUUGCGUGCGCUCGCGACCUGCACACGAGCCGCUCGAGCAGCUGGGUGAAGGACAAGAGGCCCACUGGGAAGUGGUUGAACGUAUUCUAUUCCUGUAUGCCAAGCUGAAUCCGGGCCUCGGAUAUGUCCAAGGCAUGAACGAGAUCAUUGGCCCCAUUUACUACACCUUGGUGUCUGAUCCGAAUCCGGAGUGGAGAAGU